AGAGUUGAUCCUGGCUCAGAUUGAACGCUGGCGGCAUGCCUUACACAUGCAAGUCGAACGGCAGCACGGGAGCAAUCCUGGUGGCGAGUGGCGAACGGGUGAGUAAUAUAUCGGAACGUACCUUUCAGUGGGGGAUAACGUAGUGAAAGUUACGCUAAUACCGCAUAUUCUGUGAGCAGGAAAGCAGGGGACCUUCGGGCCUUGCGCUGAUUGAGCGGCCGAUAUCAGAUUAGCUAGUUGGUGAGGUAAAGGCUCACCAAGGCGACGAUCUGUAGCGGGUCUGAGAGGAUGAUCCGCCACACUGGAACUGAGACACGGUCCAGACUCCUACGGGAGGCAGCAGUGGGGAAUUUUGGACAAUGGGGGCAACCCUGAUCCAGCCAUGCCGCGUGAGUGAAGAAGGCCUUCGGGUUGUAAAGCUCUUUCGGCCGGGAAGAAAUCGCAUCAGCUAAUACCUGGUGUGGAUGACGGUACCGGAAUAAGAAGCACCGGCUAACUACGUGCCAGCAGCCGCGGUAA
rnacentral:rRNA from 1 species